GUUAAAUAUUGACUCGACGGGCAGCUUCCGGGAAACCAAAGUUUAUAGGUUCCGGGGGAAGUAUGGUUGCAAAGCUUAAACUUAAAGGAAUUGACGGAAGGGCACCACCAGGAGUGGAGCCUGCGGCUUAAUUUGACUCAACACGGGGAAACUCACCCGGCCAGGACACAAUAAGGAUUGACAGAUUGAUAGCUCUUUCUUGAUUUUGUGGGUGGUGGUGCAUGGCCGUUCUUAGUUGGUGGAGCGAUUUGUCUGGUUAAUUCCGAUAACGAACGAGACUCUAGCCUAUUAAAUAGACGAUAUAUCUUAUUAGUAUAUCGAGCUUCUUAGAGGGACGAGCAGCUUCUAGCUGCACGAGAUUGAGCAAUAACAGGUCUGUGAUGCCCUUAGAUGUCCGGGGCUGCACGCGCGCUACAAUGAAAAUAGCAGCGCGUUUCGAAAACCUUUUCUGGAAAGUAUUGGUAAACGCGAAAUAUUUUCGUGA
rnacentral:rRNA from 1 species